UGCCCAGGACUUUCCGAGGGAANCUUAGGA
rnacentral:piRNA from 1 species